UACGUAGGGGGCAAGCGUUGUCCGGAAUUAUUGGGCGUAAAGAGCGUGUAGGCGGUCCGGUAAGUCAGCUGUGAAAGUCAAGGGCUCAACCCUUGAAUGCCGGUUGAUACUGUCGGGCUAGAGUCCGGAAGAGGCGAGUGGAAUUCCCGGUGUAGCGGUGAAAUGCGCAGAUAUCGGGAGGAACACCAAUGGCGAAGGCGACUUCCUGGCCUGUUCUUGACGCUGAGGCGCGAAAGCUAGGGGAGCAAACGGGG
rnacentral:rRNA from 1 species